GUAUAAUGAUGAAAUCCAUGCGUGUCAACUGACUCUAGAAUCCCCCUGAGUGUUCUAGUUCUACCACUCAGCGUUCUGUUGGCUGGUGUGUUCUGGACCUCAGGGCUCUGGACCUCAUGAUCAGAUUCCACACUGGCUGAAUAC
rnacentral:snoRNA from 1 species